AGGUGCUGCAUGGCUGUCGUCAGCUCGUGUCGUGAGAUGUUGGGUUAAGUCCCGCAACGAGCGCAACCCUUGUCCUGUGUUGGCAUGCCGCAAGGCGCAACUCUCAGGAGACCGCCAGCGAUAAGUUGGAGGAAGGUGGGGAUGACGUCAAGUCAUCAUGGCCUUUAUGUCCAGGGCCACACACGUGCUACAAUGGGCGGUACAAAGCGCUGCCAACCCGCGAGGGGGAGCUAAUCGCCAAAAACCGUCCUCAGUUCGGAUUGCAGGCUGCAACUCGCCUGCAUGGAGCUGGAAUCGCUAGUAAUGCUAUAUCAGAACGAUAGCGUGAAUACGUUCCCGGGUCUUG
rnacentral:rRNA from 1 species